rnacentral:rRNA from 1 species
AUGCGCGGCACGGGCCAGAAGCUGCUGUUUCUCCGUGAGAUAUUUCCAGCGGACACGAUAACGAUACGCCUGGCCCCGCGCUUUGCGUCGGCGUGCAGGCGUCUCGCUUACACCGCACGUGUUGCAAUCGCAUGUUUCAAUCCGUGUCGUCUCGGAGCCGAGAAAGAAGAAUCUAUGCUCCAAGUCGACGAAGCAUGGGCAUCUCGAGCUCUCCGGGUCGAAAGGAUGCUCAUCUUCAUACGACCUCCUGCGACGAUCGUACGGGGAACAACUCCAAAGGGAGAGCGCGCUGGCCGGACUGGACUCCCGAGCACCUUGGUCGAUCCAGGAGGACUUCACAUCGGGAAUCUGAUAGCUAGAGGGUGUAUCUCAUCUAAGCUCUCCCUCAAAAAAUUCCUUCACGUUCAAAGUUGA